CAGUAGCCGCGGGAAAACGUAGGUGGCAAGCGUUGUCCGGAAUUAUUGGGCGUAAAGCGCGCGCAGGCGGAUCGGUCAGUCUGUCUUAAAAGUUCGGGGCUUAACCCCGUGAUGGGAUGGAAACUGCCAAUCUAGAGUAUCGGAGAGGAAAGUGGAAUUCCUAGUGUAGCGGUGAAAUGCGUAGAUAUUAGGAAGAACACCAGUGGCGAAGGCGACUUUCUGGACGAAAACUGACGCUGAGGCGCGAAAGCCAGGGGUGCGAACGGGAUUAGAUACCCCUGUAGUCCCUGUCUCUUAUACC
rnacentral:rRNA from 1 species